rfam:Dipodomys ordii contig_39772, whole genome shotgun sequence.
GGGAAGGUGGCUCAGUGGUAGAGUGCUUGUUUUGCAUGCAUGAAGCCUUGGGUUCAAUUCUUCAGCACCCCA